rfam:Danio rerio chromosome 11, GRCz11 reference primary assembly.
UUUACUUAAUGAAGAUGCUUCCUAAAACCUUUUCUGAGGGGAGUUUCUGAUGGACUGUAAA